rnacentral:rRNA from 1 species
GACGUAGGGCGCGAGCGUUGUCCGGAUUUAUUGGGCGUAAAGAGCUCGUAGGCGGCUUGUUGCGUCGAAUGUGAAAACUCGGGGCUCAACUCCGAGCUUGCAUUCGAUACGGGCAGGCUAGAGUUCGGUAGGGGAGACUGGAAUUCCUGGUGUAGCGGUGAAAUGCGCAGAUAUCGGGAGGAACACCGGUGGCGAAGGCGGUUCUCUGGGCCUGUACUGACGCUGAGGAGCGAAAGCGUGGGGAGCGAACAGG